CGGCGAACGGGUGAGUAACACGUGGGCAACCUGCCUGUAAGACUGGGAUAACAUCGAGAAAUCGGUGCUAAUACCGGAUAAUAAAAGAACUGCAUGGUCUUUUUGAAAGAUGGUUUCGGCUAUCACUUACAGAUGGGCCCGCGGCGCAUUAGCUAGUUGGUGAGGUAACGGCUCACCAAGGCAACGAUGCGUAGCCGACCUGAGAGGGGUGAUCGGCCACACUGGGACUGAGACACGGCCCCAGACCUCCUACGGGAGGCAGCAGUAGGGAAUCCUUCCGCAACUGGACGAAAGUCUGACGGAGCAACGCCGCGUGAGUGAUGAAGGUUUUCGGAUCGUAAAACUCUGUUGUUAGGGAAGAACAAGUGCCGUUCGAAAGGGCGGCACCUUGACGGUACCUAACGAGAAAGCCACGGCUAACUACGUG
rnacentral:rRNA from 1 species